CAACUGUUCAUGCAGUGACGGUAUCUGACCAGAAAGUCACGGCUAACUACGUGCCAGCAGCCGCGGUAAUACGUAGGUGGCAAGCGUUGUCCGGAUUUAUUGGGCGUAAAGGGAACGCAGGCGGUCUUUUAAGUCUGAUGUGAAAGCCUUCGGCUUAACCGAAGUCGUGCAUUGGAAACUGGGGGACUUGAGUGCAGAAGAGGAGAGUGGAACUCCAUGUGUAGCGGUGAAAUGCGUAGAUAUAUGGAAGAACACCAGUGGCGAAGGCGGCUGUCUGGUCUGCAACUGACGCUGAAGCUCGAAAGCAUGGGUAGCGAACAGGAUUAGAUACCCUGGUAGUCCAUGCCGUAAACGAUGAGUGCUAAGUGUUGGAGGGUUUCCGCCCUUCAGUGCUGCAGCUAACGCAUUAAGCACUCCGCCUGGGGAGUACGACCGCAAGGUUGAAACUCAAAGGAAUUGACGGGGGCCCGCACAAGCGGUGGAGCAUGUGGUUUAAUUCGAUGCUACGCGAAGAACCUUACCAGGUCUUGACAUCUUCUGCUAACCUAAGAGAUUAGGCGUUCCCUUCGGGGACGGAAUGACAGGUGGUGCAUGGUUGUCGUCAGCUCGUGUCGUGAGAUGUUGGGUUAAGUCCCGCAACGAGCGCAACCCCUAUUGUCAGUUGCCAGCAUUUAGUUGGGCACUCUGGCGAGACUGCCGGUGACAAACCGGAGGAAGGUGGGGAUGACGUCAAAUCAUCAUGCCCCUUAUGACCUGGGCUACACACGUGCUACAAUGGACGGUACAACGAGUCGCGAAACCGCGAGGUCAAGCUAAUCUCUGAAAGCCGUUCUCAGUUCGGAUUGCAGGCUGCAACUCGCCUGCAUGAAGUUGGAAUCGCUAGUAAUCGUGGAUCAGCAUGCCACGGUGAAUACGUUCCCGGGCCUUGUACACACCGCCCGUCACACCAUGAGAGUUUGUAACACCCAAAGCCGGUGAGGUAACCUUCGGGGGCCAGCCGUCUAAAGUGGGACAGAUGAUUAGGGUGAAGUCGUAACAAGGUAGCCGUAGGAGAACCUGCGGCUGGAUCACCUCCUUAA
rnacentral:rRNA from 1 species